rnacentral:rRNA from 1 species
AUACGUAGGUGGCAAGCGUUGUCCGGAUUUAUUGGGCGUAAAGCGAGCGCAGGCGGUUUCUUAAGUCUGAUGGGAAAGCCCCCGGCUCAACCGGGGCGGGUUAUUGGAAACUGGGAGACUUGAGUGCCGACGAGGAGAGUGGAAUUCCAUGUGUAGCGGUGAAAUGCGUAGGUAUAUGGAGGAACACCAGUGGCGAAGGCGACUCUCUGGUCGGUAACUGACGCUGAGGCUCGAAAGCGUGGGGAGCAAACAGGAUUAGAUACCCUGGUAGUCCACGCCGUAAACGAUGAGUGCUAAGUGUUGGAGGGUUUCCGCCCUUCAGUGCUGCAGCUAACGCAUUAAGCACUCCGCCUGGGGAGUACGACCGCAAGGUUGAAACUCAAAUGAAUUGACGGGG